GCGCAGCAGGCGCGAAACCUCCGCAAUACACGAAAGUGUGACGGGGCCAUCCCAAGUGCCGUCCGCUGAGGACGGCUUUUCCCCAGUGUACACAGCUGGGGGAAUAAGGAGAGGGCAAGCCUGGUGUCAGCCGCCGCGGUAAUACCAGCUCUCCGAGUGGUGGGGACGCUUAUUGGGCCUAAAGCAUCCGUAGCCGGCUGGGCAAGUCCUCCGUUAAAUCCAACGAUUCAAUCGUUGGGCUGCGGGGGAUACUGUCCAGCUUGGGGGCGGGAGAGGCCGACGGUAUUCCCGGGGUAGGGGUGAAAUCCUAUAAUCCCGGGAGGACCACCAGUGGCGAAGGCUGUCGGCUAGAACGCGCCCGUCGGUGAGGGAUGAAAGCUGGGGGAGCGAACCGGAUUAGAUACCCGGGUAG
rnacentral:rRNA from 1 species